UGGGGAAUUUUCCGCAAUGGGCGAAAGCCUGACGGAGCAAGACCGCGUGAGGGAGGAAGGCCUUUGGGUUGUAAACCUCUUUUCUCAGGGAAGAAGAAAGUGACGGUACCUGAGGAAUCAGCCUCGGCUAACUCCGUGCCAGCAGCCGCGGUAAUACGGAGGAGGCAAGCGUUAUCCGGAAUUAUUGGGCGUAAAGCGUCCGCAGGUGGUUUUUCAAGUCCGCUGUCAAAGACAGUAGCUCAACUACUGAAAGGCAGUAGAAACUGAGGAACUAGAGACCGGUAGGGGUAGAGGGAAUUCCCAGUGUAGCGGUGAAAUGCGUAGAGAUUGGGAAGAACACCAGUGGCGAAAGCGCUCUACUGGGCCGGAACUGACACUCACAGGACGAAAGCUAGGGGAGCGAAAGGGAUUAGAUACCCCCGUAGUCC
rnacentral:rRNA from 1 species